rnacentral:rRNA from 1 species
UACGUAGGUGACCAGCGUUGUCCGGAUUUACUGGGCGUAAAGAGCGCGCAGGCGGUCGUUCAAGUCGAGUGUGAAAGCCCCCGGCUCAACUGGGGAGGGUCAUUCGAUACUGAUCGACUUGACGGCAGGAGAGGGAAGUGGAAUUCCCGGUGUAGUGGUGAAAUGCGUAGAUAUCGGGAGGAACACCAGUGGCGAAGGCGACUUCCUGGCCUGUUCUUGACGCUGAGGCGCGAAAGCUAGGGGAGCAAACGGG